GCACCCGUAGUUCAAUGGAUAGAAUUUUGGUUUCCGGUACCAGCGAUAGGGGUUCGAAUCCCUUCGGGUGCA
rnacentral:tRNA from 1 species